UGCUAAAAAUUUUAUUCUUUUUUACUAUUAAAAAUUGACAUAAUUGAUCAAAUAAUCAGAUAGUGACACAUAAUGUGUCACUUUUAUCUUACGUCGACGUACAUGGAUUAGUUUUUAACAAUAAAAAUGAAUAAAAAAUUUUAACG
rfam:Gossypium hirsutum cultivar TM-1 chromosome 13, whole genome shotgun sequence